GAUACCUCUAACCACAGACAAGCCGCGAAACACUGCUCUAUACUACCGAGUGCCUUUAGUGACCCACAGCACAGCUAAGACGUCCAGGAACCAUCUACAGAUUCUUCCCAGGGUGGGGAUUGAGGGGCUCUCGAUCCAGUGGGGUCCGAUCUGCCCGUCUCCACCUUUCGGAAUCUCGAGGGGAAAUGAGGCUUCCCUUCGACUUCUGAGCUCAGCCGGACCCCACCCGGGGCCCCAGGGGACGCCUGCUCAGAGAUGGAGUGAUUAGGAAGCAGGGGGCGCAGACAGCCACCCCGAGGUACCAGAGAAGUAUAGGGAGUCGGGCCAGGCUCACCGGGCUGCCCAAGGGGGUGGGCGCCUGGAGCUAGUCGGCGGCAGGGCUGGGGUGCGGGGAGGGGCGACACUUACCCGGAGGCUGCCGAGCAGGAGGCGGCGGUCGGCCGGGGCGGCUGCAGUAAUCCAUUAGGCGCUGCCGGGCUACGCGCACUGGGGGCGGCAGGGAUCCGCUCAUGUUGGAGAAGGAGUCGCCUCGGAACCGCGCGGCUGCAGUCACCCGGAGCAGGCCGGCUGCUCCUGGCGGGCGGUGUCCGCGCCGGCGGGGGCCUCGGCGCCCAGGGCUCCUUCCGGGCUCUCCCGCCCGCCGGGCUCCCCACCGGCUCCGGAGGCGGCAGCGGCGCGGCCCGAGCUAAGCGGCGAUGGGGCCACGUUGGGCGCCGGGCGGGAGCGGAGGCCGCCGCGGACCCCGCAAUCCCGCAGCCGGCGACUGGAUCCCACCUCUGCAGAGACAAAGAUGCCGGAAGAAUCAGCAAACACCAGGGAAGCAGAGGACACAAGCUUGGAUGUGAAAUAGCAACAUCUUACGCAUUGAAGAAUAAUAAAACAAUGUUUUUAAUUACAAAAGAAAAUGUGUAAGAAUAUGUGGGGCAAAUUUGGGGGCCCUUCCAAGCUAGAAUACUUUACACUGAUCUGUACGUAUGGAGCUGAACAGAGAUUGCUCAC
rnacentral:lncRNA from 1 species